GCACAAUGGAGUGCGCAGCUCCGGCAUCAGGACGGGGAGCGUUGCCACUGCAGCGUGUCUUAACUGACUUCUAAAUAGAGCGUCUAUACUUUGAUACCCCCGGCGGUCAUGUCUGUCCAGCUCCUAGCGGGUUUCUGCUUUCCUGUCUGUUCCGCUGGCGUUUUUUCUGACUGAGCCACAACGCAUAAGCCGGUAUUAGACAUAUCUAACCUGUCAAAGAAGAUCAAUAAGAGAUACAACCUAUUGGGAAGAAUAUGAUGCCAAUUUAUGUUAUCCUCUAUAGCUGCAAGUAGCUGACAAGUAUUAUAAUGAGGUGCAGCUACAAUUUAUCCAGCAGUCAUAAGACACUCCAGAAGAACUGCAAGCUCAGAAGUCCUUCACUGAAAACAAUAUGAGAGAGAUGAGAGAUGAAUACUAAAUGAAUUACAUGCGACCUGUUGGUGGA